AUUUUGCUUCCGCCACCGGCGUAGCGGAGGGUCUUCCUGGCGAUGCCCGUCAAGUAGCCGUAACAUAGAGAGCAUGAAACUCUCUCCUCUCUGCCUGAUCGGGCCAAGCUAAGGCUUUAAAGAACCGCUGCUGUUUUGCUGCACCGAAAAGAGACGGGUUUCUGGCGCAGGGUCAUCACCCGUACUGCUGAUCCUGUGUGCUGCUAAAGUGCUAGUUGAUUGUCUGCAUCUGGCUAUCGUGUCCGGUCCGGUUUGGCAUUGCCUAC